GACGAACGCUGGCGGCGUGCUUAACACAUGCAAGUCGAACGGAAAGGCCCUGCUUUUGUGGGGUGCUCGAGUGGCGAACGGGUGAGUAACACGUGAGUAACCUGCCCUUGACUUUGGGAUAACUUCAGGAAACUGGGGCUAAUACCGGAUAGGAGCUCCUGCUGCAUGGUGGGGGUUGGAAAGUUUCGGCGGUUGGGGAUGGACUCGCGGCUUAUCAGCUUGUUGGUGGGGUAGUGGCUUACCAAGGCUUUGACGGGUAGCCGGCCUGAGAGGGUGACCGGCCACAUUGGGACUGAGAUACGGCCCAGACUCCUACGGGAGGCAGCAGUGGGGAAUAUUGCACAAUGGGCGGAAGCCUGAUGCAGCAACCCCGCGUGCGGGAUGACGGCCUUCGGGUUGUAAACCGCUUUCGCCUGUGACGAAGCGUGAGUGACGGUAAUGGGUAAAGAAGCACCGGCUAACUACGUG
rnacentral:rRNA from 1 species